rnacentral:lncRNA from 1 species
CUACAAGUGUAUUUCAUGUAUGCGAAAUAGGAAUAGGGGAAAGUGUGCUUGGAAAAAACACUAAGCGUUAACACGAUGUUCUCUUACAUAAGGAACAGUAGUCAUUGCAUAGUCAUUGCAGACCCUACAGCCCUGUCUCUUCCUCAGCCACCCUCACCAGUCUCAGUCUUCCUUCACAGCAUCUGCCUUUAUAUUAUGUGUUGUGUAUGUUCCUAUGUGACAAAGUUUUGUACUGUACGUUAACUUAAAGUGUUGCUUCAUUAGGAAGAACUCCUAUGAAAUUAGGGUCUGGACUCCCCUUGGCUCUUUGCACAUAAUUUCCUUAACAGCUUGUUCAGCUGCACCCUUGAGCGCCACCUUCAGGUAGGUUCUGGUAUUAACCUGGUAUUUAAAGGCCUCAGUAUUGAGUGCGAACUAAAACCAACUUCCUUAAAGUGUCCUGCUUAAGUUUAAGGCACAAGUGUAUGAAGUUUAAGGCAAGCAGUAUUUCUGGCUGCUUAUUUUCACAGGAAGAGUUUAUUAUUUUGUGAUGACCCAAUACCAAUUAUUUUCAUCAUACUUAAUUUGGAGACUGUAAGUAGGAACUUACUGGCCAGAAGACUAGAUUCAGUUGAAACAGUGGUUUGAGUCACUAGCCACUGAGGUUACUGCAAAGAUGAGCAAAAUUAUUACAUGUUUUUUUUAAUUGAACUAUAAGACAAUACAAAUUAAUUCAGAUUCAAGCUAUUAUUUUUUAAAAUCACCCACAUUUCUAACCCAGCCUGUCUUCCUAAUUAUUCUCUUUCUCUUUCCCAUUUCUCUUUCUUUUUAAACUUGGCAAUUCUCUGUUUAGGUGAUGAGCUGAAUUUUCAGGAGAGGAUUCUGAGGAAUGGAGAAAAAAUAUGCCCAAGUGAAGCUGGCCAGGCCAGCCUUCUGUGACUUCCUAACCGAUAGUUCAGGAAGAGGAUGGGGCCAGGAUUGGAGACUUUAGUCGUACAAUAACAUUAUCCAUGCAACUACCUAACAUCCAAAAAGGGAAGACCCAGCUUCUCCUCGGGCCUUGGAGAGGAGCACCGUCAUGUUGAUACAGUGUUUCCAUCCUGCGGGACUACAGAACCCAACAACAGUAAGGUUGUGCUUUCAGCUCCACAGCUGAGUCAGUUUGUUACAAUCCCAGUUAAAUACUAAUACAGCGACAGAAUGGAAGAUAUUUUAUAGUGAGUACCACCAUCCUCAACACACAUACCUCUGUAUCUGUACCCCUAGUUUCCUUGGUGGCUGGGCAUGGGCACUUGUUCUGUUUGACUGAGUACUGCGGAUAACAUGGCCGUCUCUUUCCCCACAGCCAUAUGCUUUUUGGCACCACUGGGUUAGCUUUUUCACUGGUGUUUGUUUCUGGCAUCUUCACUUGUAUCCCAGUAUCCCAGUAUCCCAGUAUCCCAGUAUCCCAGUAUCCCAGUAUCCCAGUAUCCCAGUAUCCCAGCAUCCCAGCAUCCCAGCAUCCCAGCAUCCCAGCAUCCCAGCAUCCCAGCAUCCAAGCAUCCCAGUAUCCCAGUAUAUCAUCCCAGUAUCUUAGUAUCCCAGUAUCCAGUAUCCCAGUAUCCCAGUAUCCAGUAUCCCAGUAUCCCAGUACAAAGGAACUUUAGAAGUUUCCCCUGACAUGUGGUCCACACCUCUCACCACUUGCUAAUCACCCACUCUAUGCCAGGAUCUCGAUGGGGUUUAUUUUAUUUACUUCUUAAAACAGCUUUAUGAAUUAACAUCAUCUUCACUAUACAAACAGGAAACCUGAGGCUCAGAGGCACUAUGUGUUCCAACCUAAGGACACAAGGCAAAGAAUUAAGAUCGAAUCCAAGAGAAAAUACCAUCUCUCUGCAUAUGUCCUCUUGAGGGGGGCAAGUUGUCUCAAGGUGAAGCUAGUGAGUCUGCUGGCCUCAGAUCUACACAACUGACGGAUCUGCAGGGCACUGGCUCAGUCUGUGUGACCUUUGGCUGCUUUGUUUUUCUGCCGACCCAGUGUGUAGACGAGGGCACUGCCAUUUGGAUCCUUGAGACACUGCAGCCGUCAGGAGAGCAUGCUACCCUCUCCUCUUCUCAGAGCAUAUGCAUUUGCUUCUUCUUAACAGACUUACAGAAGACACAGCCUGAGGGUUUGCAGGGGCGAGUGGUGAGGGAUGAGUUUGCAGAGGGUGCCCUGGGAGAAGCUGUGCUGCUUUGUCCUUUACCACUUGCCUCUGGCUCCCCUUUUUAUAACCCAGGCUCUGGUAGUGUGU